AGUGAACGCUGGCGGUAGGCCUAACACAUGCAAGUCGAACGGCAGCACAGUAAGAGCUUGCUCUUACGGGUGGCGAGUGGCGGACGGGUGAGGAAUACAUCGGAAUCUACUUUUUCGUGGGGGAUAACGUAGGGAAACGUACGCUAAUACCGCAUACGACCUACGGGUGAAAGCAGGGGAUCUUCGGACCUUGCGCGAUUGAAUGAGCCGAUGUGGGAUUAGCUAGUUGGCGGGGUAAAGGCCCACCAAUGCGACGAUCCGUAGCUGGUCUGAGAGGAUGAUCAGCCACACUGGAACUGAGACACGGUCCAGACUCCUACGGGAGGCAGCAGUGGGGAAUAUUGGACAAUGGGCGCAAGCCUGAUCCAGCCAUACCGCGUGGGUGAAGAAGGCCUUCGGGUUGUAAAGCCCUUUUGUUGGGAAAGAAAAGCAGCAGGUUAAUACCCCGCUGUUCUGACGGUACCCAAAGAAUAAGCACCGGCUAACUUCGUG
rnacentral:rRNA from 1 species